rnacentral:rRNA from 1 species
UACGUAGGGAGCAAGCGUUGUCCGGAAUCAUUGGGCGUAAAGCGCGCGUAGGCGGCCCUGUAAGUCCGUUGUGAAAGUCAAAGGCUCAACCUUUGAAAGCCGAUGGAUACUGCAGGGCUAGAGUCCGGAAGAGGCGAGUGGAAUUCCUGGUGUAGCGGUGGAAUGCGCAGAUAUCAGGAGGAACACCAAUAGCGAAGGCAGCUCGCUGGGACGGUACUGACGCUAAGGCGCAAAAGCGUG